AUCCAGAUGACGAGUUCCAAAUAAGACGAAAUGCACAUUAUUCUGGAU
rnacentral:hammerhead_ribozyme from 1 species